AAAAAAAAUGUUUAUUCCGUUGUCAUAACAACUGAAUAUUUUGUUAAUAUUGGUUUUAGACUGUUCGAGGAGUCUUACACAAACUUUGAAAAGUUAACUGUUCACCAAAGACAAACAUGCAAAAUGUUCCAAGCCAGUUAAUUAUGGAGAAAAAAGACAGAAAGAAAGGAAGGAGAAAGAGUGAGUCAAAUAAACAGACACACUACCAAUCAUACGUAAAUACGCACAUAUAUCUACACAUAUAUAUGUACCUAUGGUUACCAAUGACCUCAUUCUAAUUGGCGGGAAUUUAAUGGCUAAAAUUUGCUGAAUGUAUAAUGAUGGUCUUGUUCAGAAAAAGUGCACCAAAGAUGAAAUUGUUUUUAGAUAUGGUUCCACAUAAAGUCUUGAAAGUUUGUUGGAUGUCUUAUGAAUCAUGAUUAUCAGAAUGCACUUAAGUUAUGUCAAAUGAGUAAGUACAAAUGAGUAAGUACAAAUGAUUCUUAUUUAUAACCCAAGUCACAAUGAUGCUCUUCAGUUCGAGCCAUUACUAAAAGAAAUGACUCAAAAAGGAGAAAGUGAGAACAGCAGUAACACUAGCAGUGAAGGCAGCAGUUGUAGCAGUAGCAGCAACAGUGAUGAGGAAGAUGAUGAUGAUGAUGAUGAAGAGGAAGAUGAAGAUGAUGAUGAUGAUGAUGAUAACUGUGAGAACAGUAAUAACAACAAAGUACAAACAGGAAGCAAGAAUUCAACCAAGACUUGAAGAAAUUUAUUGAAGAAUAUUUGCUAAUUAUUUCACUAAACUGAACAUCAAACAGACAAAUGAAGAGUGAAUUUCUGUUAAAAUAUUAAACUAAAUUUUUUUCCCUA